AUUGAACGCUGGCGGCAGGCCUAACACAUGCAAGUCGAGCGGGGUUUUCGGACCUAGCGGCGGACGGGUGAGUAAUGCGUAGGAAGCUACCCGAUAGAGGGGGAUACCAGUUGGAAACGACUGUUAAUACCGCGUAAUGUCUACGGACCAAAGUGUGGGACCUUCGGGCCACAUGCUAUCGGAUGCGCCUACGUGGGAUUAGCUAGUUGGUGGGGUAAUGGCUCACCAAGGCGACGAUCCCUAGCUGGUUUGAGAGGAUGAUCAGCCACACUGGAACUGAGACACGGUCCAGACUCCUACGGGAGGCAGCAGUGGGGAAUAUUGGACAAUGGGCGCAAGCCUGAUCCAGCCAUGCCGCGUGUGUGAAGAAGGCCUC
rnacentral:rRNA from 1 species